CAAUCAGACUUCCGGGGGAUACUGCUGGCUAGGGACCGGGAGAGGCCGGGGAAUUCCCCGGGGUAGGGGUGAAGUCCUGUAAUUCCCGGGAGGACCACCUGUGGCGAAGGCGCCCGGCUGGAACGGGUCCGACGGUGAGGGACGAAGGCCAGGGGAGCGAACCGGAUUAGAUACCCGGGUAGUCCUGGCUGUAAACGAUGCGGGCUAGGUGUCACCAGAGCCACGAGCUCCGGUGGUGCCGGAGGGAAGCCGUUAAGCCCGCCGCCUGGGAAGUACGGCCGCAAGGCUGAAACUUAAAGGAAUUGGCGGGGGAGCACUACAACGGGUGGAGCCUGCGGUUCAAUUGGAUUCAACGCCGGGAAGCUUACCGGGGGAGACAGCUGGAUGAAGGUCGGGCUGAAGACCCUACCAGACUAGCUGAGAGGUGGUGCAUGGCCGCCGUCAGUUCGUACUGUGAAGCAUCCUGUUAAGUCAGGCAACGAGCGAGACCCGCGCCCUCAGUUGCCAGCGGAUCCCUUCGGGGAUGCCGGGCACACUGAGGGGACUGCCGGCGCUAAGCCGGAGGAAGGUGCGGGCAACGGCAGGUCCGUAUGCCCCGAAUCCCUCGGGCUACACGCGGGCUACAAUGGCCGGGACAAUGGGUACCGACCCCGAAAGGGGUAGGUAAUCCCCUAAACCCGGUCUAACCUGGGAUCGAGGGCUGCAACUCGCCCUCGUGAACCUGGAAUCCGUAGUAANNNNCGCCUCAAAAUGGCGCGGUGAAUAC
rnacentral:rRNA from 1 species